rnacentral:rRNA from 1 species
UACGUAGGGUGCAAGCGUUGUCCGGAUUUAUUGGGUUUAAAGGGUACGUAGGCGGGCUUAUAAGUCAGCGGUGAAAGCUAAGAGCUUAACUCUUAAACUGCCGUUGAUACUGUUAGUCUUGAAUUAUGGAGAGGCACUUGGAAUUUGGGAUGUAGCGGUGAAAUGCAUAGAUAUCCCAAAGAACACCAACAGUGAAGACAUGGUGCUGGUCAUAUAUUGACGCUGAGGUACGAAAGCGUGGGUAGCAAACAGG